rnacentral:rRNA from 1 species
UAAGUGCGGGCUUUGCCUGCCAUCUCUUACCCAUGUCUUUUGAGUACCUUCGUUUCCUCGGCGGGUUCGCCCGCCGGUUGGACAACACUUAAACCCUUUGUAAUUGAAAUCAGCGUCUGAAAAACUUUAAUAGUUACAACUUUCAACAACGGAUCUCUUGGUUCUGGCAUCGAUGAAGAACGCAGCGAAAUGCGAUAAGUAGUGUGAAUUGCAGAAUUCAGUGAAUCAUCGAAUCUUUGAACGCACAUUGCGCCCCUUGGUAUUCCAUGGGGCAUGCCUGUUCGAGCGUCAUUUGUACCUUCAAGCUCUGCUUGGUGUUGGGUGUUUGUCUCGCCUUUUGCGCGCAGACUCGCCUCAAAACGAUUGGCAGCCGGCGUAUUGAUUUCGGAGCGCAGUACAUCUCGCGCUUUGCACUCACAACGACGACGUCCAAAAAGUACAUUUUUACACUCUUGACCUCGGAUCAGGUAGGGAUACCCGCUGAACUUAAGCAUAUCAAUAAGCGGAGGA